UGGCCGUCUGACCUCGGCAAAUACACGUUUAAUACCGCCGUGAACCGAAGUCUGCCGCUCAGAUUCCCGCUGCUUUGCUAUGCCCUUAGACUGCUCGCGCCUGCAGAUUAUUUAGCUGCAAAGGGCACCAGCUUGCAGGGAUCCCAGCAAGGAGGACCAGCAGCAGCAGCCAUAACUUCAGACUUCCUGUACAACCACCAGCAAGCUGACCAGUCAGGCUUUGUUCAGUUUCCACAUCUGUAAAAUCAGCUCAAAACAUGAAGGAGAUUCUGAGUUUUAUUUAAAAAUAAAAUUGUUGCAGUCAUCUUUUUUGCA
rnacentral:lncRNA from 1 species